ensembl:lncRNA
GGAAAUUUGAAGAAUAGCAAAGUUCUGCCUGAAGCAAAGAUGGUGAUUCAGCUGGAAGAGUAUUUUCUGAGGAAUCAACGCCCCAGCUUAGUUACCUGGCAGAUCUGGUGCAGCUACCAUGAGAAGUCCUACUGGUGCACCUGGACUGAGUGAGAUGCUUAAAUUCACAAGGAGGACCCACUACCAAUGGCUGCCUUUCUGCCAAAGGGCCCUGCUCUCUGUACAGGCUCUUAAUCUUGGCAUUCCUGUGGCUUCUCUAAAUGCUUCUCCAAAAUGUUGGACCAUUUCCAAGAAAAAGUCUCCAUUCUUCCCCAGCCCUGGCACAGUACAGCAGCUCCAUUCCUUCCUACUCUAUGUAUGACAGUCUGGCUAUGAAGGAGAAAGGAUUAUCUGAUUCUGUACGGAUAAAUAUAAUGAAAGAAAAGAUGACAGCAGAGAAUGCCAUUGUUGGCUUCCAAAAUAGCCUCUGCCACUUCACAAAGGGAAGAGAAAAA